rnacentral:piRNA from 2 species
UCUGCCAAUAUUCUUUUAACUGUGGGAA